UCUCUUUCUCCCUUGUUCAUCGCUGUUCUCCUCUCUCUCUUUCGUCUGAUUGGGUUUUAGUCCCUUGGUUUACCCCUCCGAUUUUUCAUUUACACGAACUCUCUUUUCUAUAUGUGUUUGUUCUUUAUCCACUGGAUCCAAUCUAAGACGUGCAGUAGCAGAGAAAAUCACAUCAAUUGAAGGAAAAAGAUGAAAACUUUUAUGGGAUGCAAAUGCAAGUACUUGUGGAUAUAUUCCAUCCAUUUCUGUCCUCCAAAGAGUAAGGAAGAAAAGGAAGAACAACCUCUGUGAGGUUUUUGGAGGAUGGCAAAAAAUUGUGGAAGAAGCAAUCUUUAUUUGUGGUCCAGGAAUAAACAAAUGGUGAAGAUAGCCUUUAA